rnacentral:rRNA from 1 species
UACAGAGGGUGCGAGCGUUGUUCGGAAUUACUGGGCGUAAAGCGUGCGCAGGCGGUUUUGUAAGCCAGAUGUGAAAGCCCCGGGCUCAACCUGGGAAUGGCAUUUGGGACUGCAAGGCUUGAGUGCGGCAGAGGAGACUGGAAUUCCUGGUGUAGCAGUGAAAUGCGUAGAGAUCGGGAGGAACAUCCAUGGCGAAGGCAGCUACCUGGACCAACACUGACACUGAGGCACGAAAGCGUGGGGAGCAAACAGG